rnacentral:rRNA from 1 species
UGGUUGGUGGAGUGAUUUGUCUGCUUAAUUGCGUUAACGAACGAGACCUUAACCUGCUUAAUAGAUACCUCGUCUACAACGGGGUACUCUUCUUAGAGGGACUAUACGGAUUAAACGUAUGGAAGUUUGAGGCAAUAACAGGUCUGUGAUGCCCCUAGAUGUCCUGGGCCGCACGCGCGCUACACUGACUCACUCAACAAGUAAUCCCUGUCCUGGAAAGGUACGGGUAAUCUUAAUAAUACGAGUCGUGUUAGGGAU